AUUUGAAGUUAGUAGGCAUCCACCUGUGAAACUCAAUAUACACUGGCCAUCUUGCUCCGUAUGCUUAGUGGCUACUGCCUACCUGAAAGAAACUAGGAAUGCAGCAUCAAGACCUGAAAAAGCAACGAAACAGGCCGUACUUCAGAAAGAUGGAGGCACCGAACCUAGUUUUCAGAAGCCAAGCCAGAGGCAAAUUCAACUCGAGCGUCCUCAGACACGAUAGAUUUUACAGGGUGGGCCCUCACUGAACUGGGCAGUCAAAGGAGAAGUUAUGGAGUAAUCCGGUGGAGUGUUCCGUACUUGAUAUUGCAGUCCCUUAUGAAAUUUGAAAUUCGUGCUCUAGCAAGAGUUAAUUGUAUUUAAAAGAAAUACAGAGUUAAUUCAUUAUAUAAAUAAUUAUAUUGUUAUUUA